GUUCGAUUUUCAAAAAUCGCGAACCCGCAGACGUCGAAAUCCUAACCGAUUUUUGUCGAAUACACUAAAACCAAUGGAAUUUCCCGUAUACAUAAGUUUUUCGAAUAUUGCAGCGACGUUUUACGUGAAAAACGUUUCGAAUUUUGUACAAUUGGUUAUUUUUUUCCGCAGUCGGGUCCGAACCGAAAUGUUUCUGAAUGUUUUUCGUACGCUGCGAUUUCGGAUAAUUAUUUGUUCGGAAAUUGACAAUAUUGUUUUUCGCGCACGAUGUAUUAUAAGUAAGUGGUUUUUUUUUUUUUUUUUUUUUGUGUGGAAUUUUCGACGAAAAUAUAUUUUUGGACUUCGCCCAACAUAUUAUUAUCGUACAUUUUUACCGAUAUAUUUAUAUUCGUUGAACCUCUUCGACUCGACGCACGGGUCGUUAUUUAAUUCAUUGUUUCGUUUCGUAUACAUCAUUGUCAAU